rnacentral:rRNA from 1 species
UACGUAGGUGGCGAGCGUUGUCCAGAUUUACUGGGCGUAAAGGGAGCGUAGGCGGACUUUUAAGUGAGAUGUGAAAUACCCGGGCUUAACUUGGGUGCUGCAUUUCAAACUGGAAGUCUAGAGUGCAGGAGAGGAGAAUGGAAUUCCUAGUGUAGCGGUGAAAUGCGUAGAGAUUAGGAAGAACACCAGUGGCGAAGGCGAUUCUCUGGACUGUAACUGACGCUGAGGCUCGAAAGCGUGGGGAGCAAACGGGAUUAGAUACCCUGGUA